CAAACAAAUAUUUGCAUUCUUUCAGAAACAUGAAUAGUACCUUCAACCACUAAUUCAAAAGCUUUAGAAUCAUAUUCCGUGAUAACAUACACUCUGACAUGGGCUGAUGAUUUAUGAGGCAGUGAUUCUUUCUUCUUGUCCAAAGGGCAGUCUUUUAUUUUAUGAUCCAAAUUUUUAUAAGCAAAAUAGGCUCCAGUCACCUACAAAUAUAAACUUAUUUCAUAAUUUAACUCGCAUCAUACACAGGAUUGAAUCUUUUGUGGUGACUUCCCUUUUCAAAUCGAUGAUGUCUUGACCCUCUUAUUAUCACAUUCUAAUUCAUUUCUAAUCUUUUUUUUUUUUGUAAACUUGUCCUUGCUAUUCCUGCUCUUGAUCUCCAGAAAUUCUUUUGAUCAUCGGAACAAUUUCGUACAUCAAAAAUCUUCUCCAAUCGCAUCAUCCAUUUUUCUGCUACCAAUGUAUUAGGUUCACCACGCUUUUACUGCGCCACAAUGAUUUAAU
rnacentral:lncRNA from 1 species